AACGAACGCUGGCUGCAGGCUUAACACAUGCAAGUCGAGCGCCCCGCGAGGUGAGCGCCUGCCGUGAGAGUAACGCGUGGGAACGUACCCUUAUCUUCGCGUAAGCUCCCGGCAACUUGAAUUAAUACCGCCUGUGCCCUGUGGGGGAAAGAUUUAUCGGGUAAGGAUCGCCCCACGUUGGAUUAGCCAGUUGGCGGGGUAAAGGGCUACCAAGGCGAAGAGCCAUGGCUGUUCUGAGAGGAUGAUCAGCCACAUUGGGACUGAGACACGGCCCAAAAUCCUACGGGAGGCAGCAGUGGGGAAUAUUGGACAAUGGGCGCAAGCCUGAUCCAGCCAUGCCGCGUGAGUGAUGAAGGCCUUAGGGUUGUAAAGCUCUUUCAACGGGGAAGAUAAUGAAGGUAUCCGAAGAAGAAGCCCCGGCUAACUUCGUG
rnacentral:rRNA from 1 species